UUCCAGACUCCUACGGGAGGCAGCAGUGGGGAAUAUUGCACAAUGGGGGAAACCCUGAUGCAGCAACGCCGCGUGAGUGAAGAAGUAUUUCGGUAUGUAAAGCUCUAUCAGCAGGGAAGAGAAUGACGGUACCUGACUAAGAAGCCCCGGCUAACUACGUGCCAGCAGCCGCGGUAAUACGUAGGGGGCAAGCGUUAUCCGGAUUUACUGGGUGUAAAGGGGGCGCAGACGGCGAUGCAAGCCAGGAGUGAAAGCCCGGGGCCCAACCCCGGGACUGCUCUUGGAACUGCGUGGCUGGAGUGCAGGAGGGGCAGGCGGAAUUCCUGGUGUAGCGGUGAAAUGCGUAGAUAUCAGGAGGAACACCGGUGGCGAAGGCGGCCUGCUGGACUGCAACUGACGUUGAGGCCCGAAAGCGUGGGGAGCAAACAGGAUUAGAUACCCGAGUA
rnacentral:rRNA from 1 species